AUGUUUUCUCCCAGCCAGGCGUGGUGGAAGGAGGACAAGAUGGCGAGCGGGUAGAAGCAGAUGCAGCUGAGGAAGUCGACAACAGCCAGGUUGACGCACAGCAGCUCCGAGCCCACCAUCUUCUUCCUCCUGAGGUAAAGCAGAAAUAGAGAGAACAGAUAACUCAGCAUACCGAUGGAGAAGAUGGCCAGUCCCACGCAUAUGUCAGCAGCUGGGGUCAGUUUGGAGGUGAAGGCGGAGGUGGUCCGGUUUCCAUCAGAGGAGUUCAGAGGCAUCGGUCGCUGCUGCUGGUGUUGCUGAUGCUACAGUGGCUGAAAUCCAGUCCUGUCUGUCAAAGGGAGAUGAGGCUGACUUUCUUUUAUGCAUGGGGUUCUGUCGCCAUGGUAACUCAAGUGUGUGAUGUCCGUCAAAUACACUGAGGAUGGGGAUCCAGGAGCUCUAUAGACAAGGACGUUAUAAGGACUUUGGCUUAACUUGCAAAUGCCACCACAAUAUCUCCAACAGCCUGGGCUUUAACAGCCUAACCAGCCAUUUUUCCAUUUAUUCUAAGGUAUUAUAGUUUAGUUUAUUUUUAAUCCUGCAAUAUUACGAUUCCUCAACAUUUUAUUGACUUCAACUUAAAACCACAUCAGAGAGCCAGAAACUGCAGUUCCUCCAGCGGCCAGUUGAAGCUGGGUCUAUAAGAGAGUCAGACUUCCACAUUAAAAACAAAAAACUUAAGAGAUUAGAUGAACUUUGCACAGCGUGGUACAAAGACUGGUUUUCAUUCUUUGUGGCUUAUUUCUGCCCUCACAAUAACUAUAGAGAAGGUGGUGUUUUAUAACUGAAGGUGGCAUGGCUGCUUUCAUUUCCAUGUGUCUGACACACACCUGUAGGUGGAUCAUCGCAAGCUGUGUUUAUGCUGUGGUUCCUUUUGAAGCAUUUGACUAAUAUAGAACAUCUGGGACAUUUAUGAUUCUUUUUUUGGUGAGUGAAUAUUAAGUGUUUUAGUAGUUUGGUGCAUUAGUCACCCUCUCAUCCAAAUAUGACACUUCUGGCCUCAAAAGACCAACAUGUCACCAUGCAGAGGUCAGAAACUGAUAGGUGACGUCUAGAGAUCUCAAAAACCUGCACAUGGCUCACAGUGUGUGAGCCCAAUGCACAAAAUUGUAUUUGCUAAACUUUUCGGAAGAUUAAGUGGAUUACAUGCAAGUGUACACUCCUGAAAGCUGUGUUGCAAAACCUGUUAAAACUAGGACCUGCUGUUUCAGCUGCUAAACGGAGAUUCACUUGUAGUUCUUUUCGAGCCACACAUUUCUUGGGAGACGUGUCCGUCACCUCAUUUUGCACAUUUUAAUAUGUAGACAUGGUGAAGAUGGCAAGCUGAAGUUCAAACUGAGCAUCAGAAUUGGGAACAAAAGUGAUACAAGUGACUUGUAUGGUUGUCAGACAGCCUGCCUCAGACAACCAUCUUUAGGCUUCACAGAAGAUGGCCUAAAAAAAUGAAAACAUCCAGUGAGCAGCAUUUCUCUGGGUGAAGAUACCUUGUUGACGUCAGAGGAAAAUGGCCAGACUGCUUUGAAGUGAGGAAAACUGAGUAACCCAAAUAACCACUCACUCAUCCAAGAUGUGCAAAAGAGCAUCUCUGAAUGGACAAUACGUCAAGUCUUGAUGCAGAUGGUGAUUGCAGCAGGAGUGACACCCGGUGUGGGUUUCCUGUUUCAAGAAAAGGAAAUUGAACUACAGUUCACAUGGGCAACACAGAAUUGGAUAAAUGCAAGCAUGAAAGCAUGGAUCCAUCAAGCCUUGUAUCAACUGUUGAUGGCGUAAUAGUGGGGGGUUCAUUUGUAUUUCGGAGGCUACCUGGUUAUUGUUGUUGACCCUGUCCAUCCCUUUAUGACCUCGGUGCAAUCAUGUUCUGAUGCCUGCUUCACAAAGGUUAGAACAAACUUCUGGUGAGCUGAUUUCAUGAGCCCUUCAAACCAAAAACCAAGUAUUUAAAACUUAAUGAUUCAGAUAAUUGAUCUACAUUUGAAAAUCCUUAAUUUUAUGCUAAGUUCCCAUAUAUUUUCACUCCUGUGCAGCAAUGAUGGUAUAAUAGCACCACAUCUGGUCCCCGAGCUGCACAAUAGGAAGCAUAAUAAUCAUCACUGUUGCUUAUGGCAGGUCGAGGCACCAUCUGCUGACCUCUAUGAAGAACUGCAAGAAAGCAAAAAAGUCAAAGGAGGAAAAAAAAAAGACAACUGGAGGCUUUGAGUAGAAAGAUAAAGUAGACUUUAUUUAAUGGUGAAACCUAAAUAAGAUCUGUGAUUACAAAACAGGCUCCCCAUGUAGUUUCUUUCAAUGUCACAGAGGCUGGAAUGCUGUACUGACAGAAAAGGCAUCAGAAAGACUUGACCUAAAAUAUAAAGCUUGAAAACUACGAGCUUCAGAGAGAGUCGAGAGAAAGAAACCCUCUCACGAGUCGUUCCUACAAUCCAAUGGCAGUUACAAUAGUUUAAUGAAGACGUUCAGCAGUUGUCAACAUCAGAAACUGGAGAAUAAAAGCAAUCGUGACUUCAUGAAGUCUGUAGAAAAGAGACAGUGAAGAGGCAUAGAUGGUAAAAGAAAGGGUUUCCUUUGUUGCACUACGUCAUAAAGGGCCUCAUUUGGUUAGGACAUAAAAAUACAUGGUAGCACGAAAGCCUUCUGUGCAUCAAAUGUCUAAGACGCUUGGAAGUCUUUGCACUGACUACACUUUUCUCAGACCACUGAAAUGUUACGCUGUACAUUAAAUCAGAAACCAAGUGGCAUUUUCCCUUUAAGUAGCCUCCAAGCUAACAUACACAUAUACACCCACGCGACAAAUAUACACUCAAGCGCAUCCUGCAUCCCCAUCAUGAGCCAGCUGCAAAAAAAAAGGGAAACAUCCAAAAAUAUUCGGGUUAUCAAUACACUGGAAAAAUAUAGCACUGUAG